UACGUAGGGGGCGAGCGUUGUCCGGAUUUAUUGGGCGUAAAGCGCGUGUAGGCGGCCCGGUAAGUCCGCUGUGAAAGUCGGGGGCUCAACCCUCGGAUGCCGGUGGAUACUGUCGGGCUUGAGUACGGAAGAGGCGAGUGGAAUUCCUGGUGUAGCGGUGAAAUGCGCAGAUAUCAAGGAGGAACACCAAUUGCGAAAGGCAGCUCGCUGGGACGUUACUGACGCUGAGACGCGAAAGCGUGGGGAGCAAACAGG
rnacentral:rRNA from 1 species